UACGUAGGGUGCGAGCGUUAAUCGGAAUUACUGGGCGUAAAGCGUGCGCAGGCGGCUAUUUAAGCUUGCUGUGAAAGCCCCGGGCUUAACCUGGGAACUGCAGUGAGGACUGGAUGGCUGGAGUGUGGCAGAGGGGGGUGGAAUUCCACGUGGUAGCAGGUUGAAAUGCGUAGAGAAUGUGGAGGAACACCGAUGGCGGAAGGCAGCCCCCUGGGCUAACACUGACGCUCAGGCACGAAGCGUGGGGAGCAA
rnacentral:rRNA from 1 species